UAAUUGAAGAGUUUGAUCAUGGCUCAGAUUGAACGCUGGCGGCAGGCCUAACACAUGCAAGUCGAGCGGUAACAUUUCAAAAGCUUGCUUUUGAAGAUGACGAGCGGCGGACGGGUGAGUAAUGCCUAGGAAAUUGCCCUGAUGUGGGGGAUAACUAUUGGAAACGAUGGCUAAUACCGCAUGAUGCCUACGGGCCAAAGAGGGGGACCUUCGGGCCUCUCGCGUCAGGAUAUGCCUAGGUGGGAUUAGCUAGUUGGUGAGGUAAUGGCUCACCAAGGCGACGAUCCCUAGCUGGUCUGAGAGGAUGAUCAGCCACACUGGAACUGAGACACGGUCCAGACUCCUACGGGAGGCAGCAGUGGGGAAUAUUGCACAAUGGGCGCAAGCCUGAUGCAGCCAUGCCGCGUGUAUGAAGAAGGCCUUCGGGUUGUAAAGUACUUUCAGUCGUGAGGAAGG
rnacentral:rRNA from 1 species